rnacentral:rRNA from 1 species
AGAACGAACGCUGGCGGCAUGCCUAAUACAUGCAAGUCGAACGAACUCUUCGGAGUUAGUGGCGCACGGGUGCGUAACGCGUGGGAAUCUGCCCUUGGGUUCGGAAUAACAGUUGGAGACGACUGCUAAUACCGGAUGAUGACGAAAGUCCAAAGAUUUAUCGCCCAGGGAUGAGCCCGCGUAGGAUUAGCUAGUUGGUGAGGU